GCAUCUCAGACCUGUCCCCCCCACCCUGUCACCCCUUUAAGCCUCGCAGGGUGACGGCUGGGGCAGCCCGGGGUGCUGGACCCUCUGUCCGGGGACAAUUCCCGUGGGAGUGCAGCGGAGGCCGGGGCUGGAGAGGGGGCCUGGUUCGUGCCGACCUUUAUUUCACGGCUCAGGAUCUCGGGCGGGGGUGCCCUGCACCCAUCGGAUCCAACGGGUUCUUUCCCCAGGCCUCGCCAGUCCAGGAUUUAAGCUGGGAAUCCUUCCCGAGCUGUUUCUCCUCCCAGUAAAGCCAACUGGGAACCGGUAGCCGAGUAUGAGGAGAGGGGAGAAGGACGGAUGGAUGGGGGACACCCUCCUCUCUUCCAAGGGCAAAUCCCGAGGGAGAGGGAAGUUUGGGUGCUGCGGGACUGUGUGGAACAAAUACCCCGCUCUAAAAAAAUCUUUCUGCAGACGCCUCUGUCCGGCUCCCCCCUUUCCCCUCCACCCUCCCAGGCACUAAACGCAGGGCUCGGGGAUCGGAGGAGGUAAUUCCCCCGGCCUGUCAUCCCUGGAUGCAAAGCUUUGGUUUUAAAUGUAUUUCCAGCCGUACUUAAGACGAUGAAAGAUCAGGAAUUCGCUGUAUGCAUUUAAACGUUGCCCUUAAUAAGCAGAGUGUGCGGAAGCGCACGCCCGGCCUGUUUAGGGAAGACAGACACAUAAAACACACCCGAGCUCUGGGUAUAAACCUGCUCUCGGGGUCGCCUCGUUGCUCUUGAGGAUCAGCAAGGCUGGAAAAGCCGGGACGCAUCCAGCAGCAUCUCGAAACGUGCCGCUUUUCCUCCCUCCUAAAUCAAAGGCGUUCGGGGGGCACGUUCGCCAGGCACGGCCGGCCAGUGACCCCCACCUCGAAAUUACGACGCUCUGUUUCUCAUCGGGAAAUUUCCCGGUGGGGAAUAAUGGCUGGAAAAUGCGGCGGAGCAGCGCCUCGCUCCCCUUGCUCCGCACGCUAAAGGAGCCCCGGCUUCCCAUAGCACGGCUGCUCCGUGCUCCCGAAAUUUCUGAAUUAAAUGGCCACGACGGGGCAGAAGGAGCUCUGAAGUGGACCUCUCGAUUAAUUCUUUAGCAAAGGCUGCAGAAAGCCAGGAGAGCCUCAAGAGGGGAGGGGAUAAUGUAUCCGUGACGUGUCCUCCCUCGCAGCGCCCUCCGAGGGACCCAAAUCCAGAGGAGCCGGCGCGGAGCUUCAAUCAGCGCUUGCGAGGGGACGGGAGGCCGGCCCGGGGGGAGCCGGGGGCGGGGGCCGCAGAGCCCCUUACCCCUCUCUGCCCUUCUCGGUCACCCCGAGGGGGCUCUUUGUCCCACCCCACCCGGGUCACAGCUGCCACGGGGGGUGCGACACGCGUGGGGCUCCUUCCCCAGCCCCCAAAAGCCACCCGAGACUUUCCCCCGUUGUUGUGGCGCUGGGUAAAGCGCACCUGGGCACUCACACAGGUACGCGCGGCCUCAGCGCACAUUUACACCCUGUAAAUAAUCGCUAUUUUACGUAUUACACGUGUAUACACAAAAAUAUCUACACGGGGCCCCCGGUAGAUGCGGAGGAGGGGGCAGAGCUCCGUGGGAGCCGCUGAGCCGGGCUUAACCCCGGAGCUGCCGGAUCAGCGCUCGGCGGAGGAUGGAGCGGGCACCUCUGCAGAGCUCGUCACUAAAGCCGUGCCUGGGCUCUUUCCUCAUGUCCUGAGUGAGGGAAUUAAACCGGGACUGAGUCACUAAAGCCGUGCCUGGGCUCCUUCCUCAUGUCCCGAGUGAGGGAAUUAAACCGGGACUGAGCCGAGCCCGGCCGGGUUUAACCCGACGGGGGCUGCUUUUGGGGACAAAGCCCCACGAUGCGUCCCGGACACGCGUGGGGAUUAAAGCAGCAAGGAAAGAGGGAAGGGAGGGACAGGCAGAGCCCGGCGAGACGCGGCUCCACACCCAGGGCUCCGAGGGGGAUGGGACACACAAUGCACCGGUCCUUAAUAUUAAUCCCGCCAGAGGCCCGGCCGGCGGGCGAGUGUGUUUGCUUAAGCUCGCCCGGCCCUCUGUAAUUAUCCCAUUAGAGCAGAAAGAGCCCGGGCCGGGCACGGCGAGGGAAAGGCCGCGCUCUUUAACCCCGCGGCCGGGCCAGCGCAGCCCCCGGGAUGGCGAGCGGGGGCACCGCGGCACCUCCGGCUGCAGCAGCGGGCGAGAGGAGCCCCGAAGGGUUCCGGGACAAACCCGCACGGCCUCUGCUCCCAAAUCCAUCCCCUCCUGCCUCAGUUUUUACUGAAGCGUGUUUCGUCUGGGACUUUUUGCCGAGCAAAACAAAUGUAAAUUAAUUAAGGGGGAAAAAAACCCAACCAAACAAACUAAAAGAACAAACAACAACCAAAAAAACACCCCCCAAAAAAAUCCCAAAACAGAAAAAAUAUAACCAAAAACAGCCGUCGAAAAGAAACUUCAGCUUUGUGGGGAAAUUCUCAAAAUUCAAUGCAACCUCCGCCCGCCGCCGAAACUGGACGUAUGAGCAGAGGGUUUUCAACUGGAGAGGGAAAACAGGAAAACGAGAGGUGAGAAUCACCCCCGCGCACCCCCAAACAAACCCUUCCCUUGCUCGGGUGGGUGUCCCGUGUCUCCGUGACCCGAGGCUCCAAGAAAAGGGGUCCAACACCUUUUUUGGGGGGGUAAUUCCUCAUCUUUCAGGCACAGCCGGGACCGCUCCCGUCCCUGCCCCGCCCGGGAUCCAAAGGAAUUCCCAGGGUCGAGGUUUACAGGGACUCGCCACCCUCCCCGUGUCCCUGAAAGUGCCGCUCUUGCCACAAAAAAAACUCCUCAGCUCCGCGAUUUUGGUGUUGGUGGAGUUUUCCUACUUUUAUUUUUACUCCUCGGUGGAGGCUGGGGAGGAAAUCGGGGCUGCGGAGCCGAGCACAGAGCGGGGCUUAACUUUAGUCUGAUGUGCUUAGCUGAAGUAUUAACUGUGAGAAAUACCACCGAGCUCCACAGGAAAGAAAAUAUCGUCAGAUAUUUGAACAUUUCCAGUCUGCAGCAUCAGCACCGCUCCCAGCUCCAGGACCAGCGGUGCUGAUCGUCCCCGGAGGAAUCCCCCGGAUUUCUUUUUUUCCCUGUAACUACAGCUCCCAAGUGUGGCUGUACACACACAGCCGCUCACGCACGCAAAUCCUAUAAAUGCUAAUAAAACAGAUUCCUCAGGAUUUGUUUAA